CUUUUUGAGGGUUUGAUCCUGGCCCAGGGUGAACGCUGGCGGCGUGCCUUAGGCAUGCAAGUGGAACGCUCUAUCGCAAGAUAGAGAGUCGCGAACGGCUGAGUAACACGUAGGAAUCUGCCUCUUGGUGUGGAAUAGUCCACCGAAAGGUGGGGUAAUACCGCAUAAGAUCUCCGGAUGAAAGGGUUUAACCGCCCGCCGAGAGAGGAGCCUGCGGCCCAUCAGCUUGUUGGUAGGGUAAUGGCCUACCAAGGCUACGACGGGUAGGGGGCGUGAGAGCGUGGCCCCCCAGAAUGGGACUGAGACACGGCCCAUACAUCUACGGAUGGCAGCAACCGGGAAUCGUGCGCAAUGCAGGAAACUGUGACGCCGCGACGCCGCGUGGGGGAUGACAGCCUUAGGGUUGUAAACUCCUUUUGCCAAGUGGGAGACCACUUGGAGAAUAAGCACCCGCUAACUUCGUGCCAGCAGCUGCGGUAAUACGGAGGGUGCAAGCGUUGCCCGGAUUUAUUGGGCGUAAAGAGUGUGUAGGCGUUUUGGUAAGUUAUUUUUCAAAUCCCGGGGCUCAACCUCGGAAAGGGAAAUAAUACUACCAGAAUUGAAAGGUUCAGGGGCUACUGGAACUAUCGGUGUAGGGGUGAAAUCCGUUGAUAUCGAUAGGAACUCCAAGGGCGAAGGCGGGUAGCUGGGAACCAUUUGACGCUGAGACACGAAAGCUAGGGGAGCGAAAGCGAUUAGAGACCGCUGUAGUCCUAGCCGUAAACGAUGCUCGCUAGCCUUCAGACUCCGAUUUAUCGGAGUUUGUGGGCGUAAGCUAACGCGUGAAGCGAGCCGCCUGGGGAGUACGGUCGCAAGACUAAAACUCAAAGGAAUUGACGGGGACCUGCACAACCAGUGGAGCAUGUGGUUUAAUUCGAGACGAACCGAAGAACCUUACCUGGACUUGACAUAUUUCUCUUAAUGCCGAACUAGAGAUAGAUCGGAAGUCAUCAUUUUGGUGACAGGGAAUUACAGGUGUUGCAUGGCCGUCGUCAGCUCGUGCCGUGAUGAAAUUUACCCCUUCGCGGCCCUUCGAAGUAAUUCGAAGUGAUAAAUCUGACUCAUAUCGGUGGAAACUCUUGUAUUUCGGUAUAUCUUCGGGUAUAUUGAAAAUAUGAGAACAAUACCGAGGGAAGUCGGGAAUUUACUAGAGUUUAAAGCUAGAGCGAAUUUGAGAUUAACACUUUCUGCUCGUCAGAGAGAAAUACUUAUCGGUUGUUUAUUAGGCGAUGCCUAUAUUCACCCGAGAGGACAAAUUCAAAUAGCUCAAAGCAUAAAACAACAGAGUUAUCUUAAUUGGAAAUACCAAGAGCUUUCAUCACUUGCAUAUGGACCUCCAUCAACAGUUUCAAGAUUUGAUACUAGAUAUGGAAAAACAUAUGUUGGUUUGAGAUUUUGGCUAAGACAAUACUUUAAACCGUUGCGUAAAAUUUUUUACCCACAAGGUAAAAAAACGUAUUCGCACAACUUGAAUAAGUUUGUCACAGGCUUAACUUUAACAGUUUGGUAUAUGGAUGAUGGUAAUUUGUACAAAAGUAGACAUGUAAAGAUUUCAACAGAUGGUUUUAGCCAUCAAGAUUGUUUAUCUUUGCAAAACAUGCUUGCAAAAAAAUUCAAAAUAGAAACUAGCAUUCAAGCUAGUGGUAAAUUAAGAAUCGCUUGUAAGUCAUUGCCUACAUUUUUUAAUACAAUUACUCCUUUUAUUCAUCCAAGUAUGAUAUAUAAAAUUCCUUGACCCCGUAACGACUAAUCCGAAAGGAGAGAUGGAUGUUUUUUAACAUUCAUAACACGUCAGCUCCCGGUCAUAAACCGGGAUGAAGGUAUAGUCUAUUUACAUUUAUGUAAUUGGGGGUGUUCCCUUAAGUGGGGUAACGAGCGCAACCCCUGCCGUAUGUUGAAUUAUUCAUACGGGACUGAUCACCUUUGUGUGAUAGGAAGCGGGGACGACGUCAGGUCAGCAUGGCCCUUAUGUCCAGGGCUACACACAUGCUACAAUGGAGCCGACAGAGGGUUGCCAAGUGGUAACACGGAGCUAAUCCCAAAAACGGCUUCUCAGUGGGGAUUGAGGGCUGCAACCUGCCCUCAUGAACGCGGAAUUGGUAGUAAUCGCAGAUCAGCUAUGCUGCGGUGAAUACGUUCUCAGGUCUUGUACACACCGCCAUAGAUACACUUAAAAGUGUAUCUUAAUAAAAUGUAGU
rnacentral:ncRNA from 1 species